UGCAAUUGAUGAUGAAUUUUAUCGAAUACACUGAAUUGUUUUAUAGUGAUUGAUUAAAAUAAAUUUCACCAUCUUUCGACUGAGAUUGCA